UGUUUGGGGGGGCUUUUUUGCUCCCCCGUUUAUAAGCAGAAGACCGAUAUGUGUUUGGUAACCAAAUUUGGGAGCAUCUUUUUCCAGAAGCUGUUGUGGCUUCCGUCGAAAAGCAAAAGCCGCCUCAACCCAGCUUUUAGAAGCCAGAAGUCCGGUCUUCACUGUAGCGCUGGUGACUGUAGAUUAAUGAAAGUUCUAAAAUACCGAUCUUUACCCUUCUUGGUGGAAGCAAUUACUCGAUAUCCCUACGCCUCAUCCAAUCUCUCUCCCUCAUCACAAACGCAGUGAAGAUCUCUCUCCCUCAUCACAGACGCUGCAUCGAUCUCUCUCCCUUUGACGCCGCCUCACGUAUCCUCUCAUUCACGUAUCCUCUCAUCAAGAUCUCGGGUUGGAAAUCGAAGCCCCCCAAAGUAAGGCUGCUUGGGAAUUUCAUUCAGUCCUUACUUUCUAGAGCUGAUGCUAAAGUGAAGGAGUUGUGACAUUCAAUUGACGUUCUAAAGCCUAAAGUGAAUGUGCAUGUCUUCAUAAUUAUAUACGGAGACGUGCAGAUCGUGAUAGACAUUUUGUCCGCAGUGAAUAAAGAGAAGGUGAUGGGUCAAAUGGUGGGAUAGAGAUGGAUGAUGACGUAGAAGAAGAAUAUCAUGGUCAUGGUGCACAAAAAAUGGAAACAAUAAAAAAUAACAUUACUCAAAGUUUGAUGAGUGCGCGUAAUAACGUGAACAUUUGAAUAUGUUAUGAUAUUUUUUGUGGUUACUUGAUACGAACAAUAAACCAAUUGUUAUUAAUGUUACUAAUAUAUUUGUAUAAGUUA